rnacentral:tRNA from 1 species
GGGCUUGUAGCUCAGCUGGUAGAGCACUCCCCUUGCACGGGAGAGGUCGGGGGUUCAAUUCCCUCCGAGUCCA